rnacentral:lncRNA from 1 species
GCGGGUGGGUCUACAUCGGACCUGCGUGACAGAGUUGCACGGUUGGAAGCGCUAAUCGGCGUAACUGAUGAUACGUUAGACUUGGCAGAUCUAAUUACAGAGAUCUACCGACUGAAGGACGGGGCAGAUCAGUUCCGCGAUGGGAUCCAACAAACGUGUGAGGCAACAAACAGUAUAGUUGAAGAUCUAAAGAAGGAGGUCGACGACUUGAAGGCUGAGAUCGCUAUUCUUCGAAGGGCGUUGGCUGCUCCAAGCCAAGCUAGUGAAGAACGCUCG